AGAUUGAACGCUGGCGGCAGGCCUAACACAUGCAAGUCGAGCGGUAGAGAGGUGCUUGCAUCUCUUGAGAGCGGCGGACGGGUGAGUAAUGCCUAGGAAUCUGCCUAGUGGUGGGGGAUAACGUUCGGAAACGGACGCUAAUACCGCAUACGUCCUACGGGAGAAAGCGGGGGACCUUCGGGCCUCGCGCCAUUAGAUGAGCCUAGGUCGGAUUAGCUAGUUGGUGAGGUAAUGGCUCACCAAGGCGACGAUCCGUAACUGGUCUGAGAGGAUGAUCAGUCACACUGGAACUGAGACACGGUCCAGACUCCACGGGAGGCAGCAGUGGGGAAUAGUGGACAAGUGGGACGAAAGCCUGACGUCCAGCCAUGCCGGCGUGUGUGAAGAAGGUCGUUACGGAUUUAGGUAAAGUCGUAACUUUAAGGUUGGGUAAGGUAAGGGUUUACGUUAAACCCGUUAAAGUUACCGGUU
rnacentral:rRNA from 1 species